rnacentral:rRNA from 1 species
GACGAACGCUGGCGGCGUGCUUAACACAUGCAAGUCGAACGGAAAGGCCCUGCUUUUGUGGGGUGCUCGUGUGGCGAACGGGUGAGUAACACGUGAGUAACCUGCCCUUGACUUUGGGAUAACUUCAGGAAACUGGGGCUAAUACCGGAUAGGAGCUCCUGCUGCAUGUUGUGGGUUGGAAAGUUUCGGCGGUUGGGGAUGGACUCGCGGCUUAUCGGCUUGUUGGUGGGGUAGUGGCUUACCAAGGCUUUGACGGGUAGCCGGCAUGAGAGGUGGACCGGCCACAUUGGGACUGAGAUACGGACCAGACUCCUACGGGAGGCAGCAGGGGGGAAUAUGGCACAAUGGGCGGAAGCCUGAUGCAGCAACGCCGCGUGCGGGAUGACGGCCUUCGGGGUGUAAACCGCUGUCGCCUGUGACGAAGCGGGAGUGACGGUAAUGGGUAAAGAAGCACCGGCUAACUACGUG